rnacentral:rRNA from 1 species
GUGGGGAAUAUUGGACAAUGGGCGAAAGCCUGAUCCAGCCAUGCCGCGUGUGUGAAGAAGGUCUUCGGAUUGUAAAGCACUUUAAGUUGGGAGGAAGGGUAGUAACCUAAUACGUUGCUACUUUGACGUUACCGACAGAAUAAGCACCGGCUAACUCCGUGCCAGCAGCCGCGGUAAUACGAAGGGUGCAAGCGUUAAUCGGAAUUACUGGGCGUAAAGCGCGCGUAGGUGGUUUUGUAAGUUGGAGGUGAAAUCCCCGGGCUCAACCUGGGAACUGCCUCCAAAACUGCAUGACUAGAGUACGGUAGAGGGUAGUGGAAUUUCCUGUGUAGCGGUGAAAUGCGUAGAUAUAGGAAGGAACACCAGUGGCGAAGGCGACUACCUGGACUGAUACUGACACUGAGGUGCGAAAGCGUGGGGAGCAAACAGGAUUAGAUACCCUAGUAGUCC